rnacentral:rRNA from 1 species
AGAGUUUGAUCAUGGCUCAGGGUUAACGCUGGCGGCGCGCAUAACACAUGCAAGUCGAGCGAGGGCUCAUUUCUCGCAAGAGAGAUGAGAUUCCUAGCGGCGAACGGGUGAGUAACACGUGGGCAACCUUUCCUAUCGCGGGGGAUAACACCGGGAAACCGAUGCUAAUACCGCAUGUCGUCACCGGUCGAUUGGCUGGUGAAGAAAGCAGCAAUGCACGAUGGGGUGGGCCCGCGGCCUAUCAGCUAGUCGGUGGGGUAACGGCCUACCGAGGCGAUGACGGGUAGCUGGUCUGAGAGGACGGCCAGCCACACGGGGACUGAGACACGGCCCCGACUCCUACGGGAGGCAGCAGUGAGGAAUCUUCCGCAAUGGGCGAAAGCCUGACGGAGCGACGCCGCGUGUGGGAUGAAGUCUUUCGGGAUGUAAACCACUGUCGGAGGGGAAGACAAAAAAGACGGUACCCUCCAAGAAAGCCCCGGCUAACUACGUGCCAGCAGCCGCGGUAAUAC